rnacentral:rRNA from 1 species
CCAAUAGCGUAUAUUAAAGUUGUUGCAGUUAAAAAGCUCGUAGUUGAAUUUCGGGGCCAGUAAGUUGGUCGUGCCACUGGUAUGUACUGGCUUUACUGGUCUCUCCUUCUUGAAGAACCGUGAUGCCAUUAAUUUGGUGCUGCGGGGAAACAGGACUGUUACUUUGAAAAAAUUAGAGUGCUUAAAGCAGGCUUACGCUUGAAUACAUUAGCAUGGAAUAACGAAAUAGGACGCUCGAUUCUAUUUUGUUGGUUUCUAGGAUCGACGUAAUGAUUAAUAGGGAUAGUUGGGGGCAUUAGUAUUCAAUUGUCAGAGGUGAAAUUCUUGGAUUUAUUGAAGACUAACUACUGCGAAAGCAUUUGCCAAGGAUGUUUUCAUUAAUCAAGAACGAAAGUUAGGGGAUCGAAGACGAUCAGAUACCGUCGUAGUCUUAACCAUAAACUAUGCCGACUAGGGAUCGGAUGAAGUUAAUUUUUUAAUGACUCAUUCGGCGCCUUACG